rnacentral:rRNA from 1 species
UAGAUACCCUGGUAGUCCACGCCCUAAACGAUGUCGACUAGGUGUUCGGUGAGGAGACUCAUUGAGUACCGCAGCUAACGCGUGAAGUCGACCGCCUGGGGAGUACGGUCGCAAGAUUAAAACUCAAAGGAAUUGACGGGGACCCGCACAAGCGGUGGAUGAUGUGGAUUAAUUCGAUGCAACGCGAAAAACCUUACCUACCUUGACAUGUACGGAACCCUGCUGAGAGGUGGGGGUGCUCGAAAGAGAG